rnacentral:tRNA from 4 species
UGGGCUAUCGCCAAGUGGUAAGGCACAGGACUUUGACUCCUGCAUUCCGAUGGUUCGAAUCCAUCUAGCCCAACCA